CCCGCGUCGGGCCCUGUGAGGGACGUCGUCGGACCUCGGUGGCCAAGGUGGGGAGGAUGUGUCGCUGUCACCUGCUGGUACUCCAGCCCCUGCCCCGGGUGGCCGACCCCCAGCAAGGCCUAGCCGGCAGUCCCAGAAGGAACAGCAUGUCCACCAGAAAAGACUGAAGAGGAGAGUUCGAGCCUCACCCUUUUUAUUCUUCUGAAAGCAAGUUUCACCAACGUUAACUUCAAAAGAUUAGAGGAAAAGUUUGAAUGGAAGAUUUUAGAGCAUAUAGAAGCAUAUGAACCUUCUGGGUGAAAUCUUUUUUCAGUCACAGACACAACAUUCUGCUCCGUGUCUGCAAAUGAAACAGAAGUUGCAGCCACGCGUAAACGUAACGAGAAGUACUUGGCGUCACAGCUCACUCAGCACAAAAAAUAAGCUAAAGGAAGACGUAAGAAAACACUUUAGCAAUUCAUCUCUUAAUAAUGUAAAGUGUCAACAUAAAAUUCUUUAAAUACAGAGUGUGAUUUUUAUCUUGACAGGGUUUCUUUGAGGUCUUCUGGGAACAAAUCUUUAAUUAUUGAGCAAUUCUGACUUAGGCAAUCACAUGCUUCAUUACUCAUCUCAGAAGCAGAGGGCUAUUCACAGAAUGAAGCUGUGCUGUUGGUGGAGGCGGUGGGGCGGGGGGCAGGUCUGCAGAGACAGACGGCGAGGUGGCCACCCCAAAAGGCUCGCUGGGACUUAACCGUGCACGAGAGGUUUUUACCAAAAUUCCAGGAGGUUCUGUUUGCCAAAUGUCUAAAAGUAAGGCGAUUAGAAAUAAAGCCAGAGGAAAGUUUACUCUCUCAUAUACACAUACAUGUAUAUUCUUAAUUGUUUCACAAAAUUAGGUACUGUCACUUGCUCCCCUCCCCCACCCCCAUACAUCUGCAGGACUGCACGCAACAUGAGGAGAUAAAUCGUGUGGUUCUGCCCACCGUGUCAUCCUCGCUGCCUGGUGUAGCCUGCGGCUCAUAGCCAGUACCCGAAAAAUUGAAAACCAAAAAGCGCAAAGGAAUGAAUGACUCUGUCAAUAAAUGCAUACCCACAGAGUCGUUAAUUGGAAUAUUCUUCUAUGCAGGUGUGUCGUGGUUGCCCCAAACGAGCCUCUGUUUGGGGACUAACUUGUUUCCAAAGGCUUCAUAUGUAUAGCUGACAAAUUUAAGCUGUUUUAAAAAAUGGCACCAAGAAUAACAGCACCUGUUAUUAACCCUAAUCACCCAGAAUCAACAAAUUUUAAGAUUUUGACAGGUUUGCUUCACUUUUUUUGAAUAAAAGAAAGCGUUGCAGAUAAUGUCGAAGUCCACAUUUUUCUGUCCUCAGUCUGUCUAAUCCCCCUCCUUCCGCCCGGGCAGCAGCUGUCAC